AUUGAACGCUGGCGGCAUGCUUUACACAUGCAAGUCGAACGGCAGCACAGGGAGCUUGCUCCCGGGUGGCGAGUGGCGCACGGGUGAGUAAUACAUCGGAACGUGUCCUGUUGUGGGGGAUAACUGCUCGAAAGGGUGGCUAAUACCGCAUGAGACCUGAGGGUGAAAGCGGGGGAGUCGCAAGACCUCGCGCAAUUGGAGCGGCCGAUGCCCGAUUAGCUAGUUGGUGAGGUAAAGGCUCACCUAGGCGACGAUCCCUAGCUGGUCUGAGAGGAUGACCAGCCACACUGGAACUGAGACACGGUCCAGACUCCUACGGGAGGCAGCAGUGGGGGAAUAUUGCACAAUGGGCGCAAGCCUGAUGCAGCCAUGCCGCGUGUAUGAAGAAGGCCUUCGGUUGUAAAGUACUUUCUAGCGGGGAGGGAAGGGAGGUAAAGUUAAGUAACCUUUGCUCAUUGACGUUACCCGCAGAAGAAGCACCGG
rnacentral:rRNA from 1 species